rnacentral:tRNA from 1 species
GGGCCAUUAGCUCAUUUGGUAGAGCAUCUGACUCUUAAUCAGGUGGUGGCAGGUUCAAGCCCUGCAUGGCCCACCA